rnacentral:rRNA from 1 species
UACGAAGGGUGCAAGCGUUGCUCGGAAUUAUUGGGCGUAAAGGGUAGGUAGGUGGUUACGUAUGUCUGGGGUGAAAUCCCUGAGCUCAACUCAGGACGUGCCUUGGAAACGGCGUAACUAGAGUGCUGGAGAGGUUUGCAGAAUUCCCGGUGUAGCGGUGAAAUGCGUAGAGAUCGGGAGGAAUAUCAGAGGCGAAGGCGGCAAACUGGACAGUUACUGACACUCAACUACGAAAGCGUGGGGAG